GAUGAACGCUGACAGAAUGCUUAACACAUGCAAGUCCACUUGAACUUCGGUUUGGGUGGCGGACGGGUGAGUAACGCGUAAAGAACUUGCCUCACAGCUAGGGACAACAUUUGGAAACGAAUGCUAAUACCUGAUAUUAUGAUUUUAGGGCAUCCUAGAAUUAUGAAAGCUAUAUGCGCUGUGAGAGAGCUUUGCGUCCCAUUAGCUAGUUGGAGAGGUAACGGCUCACCAGGGCGAUGAUGGGUAGCCGGCCUGAGAGGGUGAACGGCCACAAGGGGACUGAGACGCGGCCCUUACUCCUACGGGGGGCAGGAGGGGGGAAUAUUGGACAGGGGACCAAGAGUCUGAUCCAGCAAUUCUGUGUGCACGAUGGAGUUUUUCGGAAUGUAAGGUGCUUUCAGUUGGGAAGAAAAAAAUGACGGUACCAACAGAAGAAGUGACGGCUAAAUACGUG
rnacentral:rRNA from 1 species